AUCUGCCCUGCACUUCGGGAUAAGCCUGGGAAACUGGGUCUAAUACCGGAUAUGACCUCCUAUCGCAUGGUGGGUGGUGGAAAGAUUUAUCGGUGCAGGAUGGGCCCGCGGCCUAUCAGCUUGUUGGUGGGGUAAUGGCCUACCAAGGCGACGACGGGUAGCCGACCUGAGAGGGUGACCGGCCACACUGGGACUGAGACACGGCCCAGACUCCUACGGGAGGCAGCAGUGGGGAAUAUUGCACAAUGGGCGAAAGCCUGAUGCAGCGACGCCGCGUGAGGGAUGACGGCCUUCGGGUUGUAAACCUCUUUCAGCAGGGACGAAGCGCAAGUGACGGUACCUGCAGAAGAAGCACCGGCUAACUACGUGCCAGCAGCCGCGGUAAUACGUAGGGUGCAAGCGUUGUCCGGAAUUACUGGGCGUAAAGAGUUCGUAGGCGGUUUGUCGCGUCGUUUGUGAAAACCAGCAGCUCAACUGCUGGGCUUGCAGGCGAUACGGGCAGACUUGAGUACUGCAGGGGAGACUGGAAUUCCUGGUGUAGCGGUGAAAUGCGCAGAUAUCAGGAGG
rnacentral:rRNA from 1 species